GAUGAAGAACGUAGCGAAAUGCGAUAAGUAAUGUGAAUUGCAGAAUCCAGUGAAUCAUCGAAUCUUUGAACGCACAUUGCGCCCGCCAGUAUUCUGGCGGGCAUGCCUGUUCGAGCGUCAUUUCAACCAUCAAGCCCCAGGCUUGUGUUGGGGACCUGCGGCUGCCGCAGGCCCUGAAAACCAGUGGCGGGCUCGCUGUCACACCGGGCGUAGUAGAUUUUAUCUCGCUCAGGGCGUGCUGCGGGUUCCGGCCGUUAAAAAGCCUUUUUUACCCAAGGUUGACCUCGGAUCAGGUAGGAAGACCCGCUGAACUUAAGCAUAUCAAUAAGCGGAGGA
rnacentral:misc_RNA from 1 species